UUUUAAAUUGAGAGUUUGAUCCUGGCUCAGGACGAACGCUGGCGGCGGGCCUAACACAUGCAAGUCGAGCGAUGAACCUUCCUUCGGGAAGUGGAUUAGCGGCAGACGGGUGAGUAACACGUGGGUAACCUGCCUCAAAGAGUGGGAUAGCCUCCCGAAAGGGAGAUUAAUACCGCAUAACAUUAUUUUAUGGCAUCAUAAAAUAAUCAAAGGAGCAAUCCGCUUUGAGAUGGACCCGCGGCGCAAUAGCUAGUUGGUGAGGUAACGGCUCACCAAGGCAACGAUGCGUAGCCGACCUGAGAGGGAGAUCGGCCACAUUGGAACUGAGACACGGUCCAGACUCCUACGGGAGGCAGCCGUGGGGAAUAUUGCGCAAUGGGGGAAACCCUGACGCAGCAACGCCGCGUGAGUGAUGAAGGUUUUCGGAUCGUAAAACUCUGUCUUUAGGGACGAUAAUGACGGUACCUAAGGAGGAAGCCACGGCUAACUACGUGCCAGCAGCCGCGGUAAUACGUAGGUGGCAAGCGUUGUCCGGAUUUACUGGGCGUAAAGAGUAUGUAGGUGGGUGCUUAAGUCAGAUGUGAAAUUCCCGGGCUCAACCGGGGAGCUGCAUUUGAAACGGGGCAUCUAGAGUGCAGGAGAGGAAAGUGGAAUUCCUAGUGUAGCGGUGAAAUGCGUAGAGAUUAGGAAGAACACCAGGGGCGAAGGCGACUUUCUGGACUGUAACUGACACUGAGAUACGAAAGCGUGGGUAGCAAACAGGAUUAGAUACCCUGGUAGUCCACGCCGUAAACGAUGAAUACUAGGUGUCGGGGGGUACCACCCUCGGUGCCGCAGCAAACGCAUUAAGUAUUCCGCCUGGGGAGUACGGUCGCAAGAUUAAAACUCAAAGGAAUUGACGGGGACCCGCACAAGCAGCGGAGCAUGUGGUUUAAUUCGAAGCAACGCGAAGAACCUUACCUAGACUUGACAUCUCCUGAAUUACUCUUAAUCGAGGAAGUCCCUUCGGGGACAGGAAGACAGGUGGUGCAUGGUUGUCGUCAGCUCGUGUCGUGAGAUGUUGGGUUAAGUCCCGCAACGAGCGCAACCCUUAUUGUUAGUUGCUACUAUUAAGUUAAGCACUCUAACGAGACUGCCGCGGGUAACGUGGAGGAAGGUGGGGAUG
rnacentral:rRNA from 1 species